AAAAAAGAUUAAGAACAGCUUGACAGCUUGCCCUAAAACGAUGAGAUGUUGACACUGAGGUCACUUUUCUUAGCCAACAACUUCCUUCUUUCUUUUCUUUUUUUUUCAAAUUCAUUGCCACAAAACAGCAAGAAACACACCCAGGAAACUUAGCAUCAGUGCUAAGAUCUCUUAUAUAUUGACUGAGUCUAACGAAGUGUUAAAACCACCUCUGGAUCCAACUGUCAGGAUGCAGCUGCCAGGCUUGAUUGUUUUUAGUCUCAUGUUGGUUCCUGCCUGUAACUCAAAAGGUGAAAAAUGGAAUCUAACUGUCAGUAGAAAUAUCACUGCUGAAAAGGGCUCAAACAUUACCAUACCGUGCAACUUCACCUAUCCAUCAAAGCAUCACACGGACAAUGUUAGUGUCUACUGGAAAAAGUGGGGCCAAAGCUUAUGCAGCAAGAAUGACAAAGAUACUAAUGCAUUCAUUUAUCACCCGAAUGAGUUGUGUGUGGUUGAGAAGUACAGGAGAAGGACUUUACUCGAAGGGGAUAAAGCCAGAGGAAGCUGCUCCCUCAAAAUCUUAAACAUCACCAGCAAUGAAUUGGACAUCUACGUGAGAAUUUCUGUCAAAGGUGACAACUACAGCUUCAAAGGGAACUCUGUCUCUAUUUUUGUCAAAGGUCAGUAUUCCAAUAAGUGCAAUUAUGAUUUCUAUAAUGUGCCAGAGUGCAGAAAGAAAUGA
rnacentral:lncRNA from 1 species